CCAUGUGCCACCACUCAAUGUCGCCAAUGCCACCACCCCAUGUCCCCAUGUGCCACCACCCCACGUUCCCAUGUGCCACCACCCCGUGUCCCCAGGUGCCACCACCCAAUGUCCCCACGUGCCAACACCCCAUGUGCCACCACCCCACAUCCCCACGUGCCACCACCCCCUGUCCCCAUGUGCCACCAUCCCCAUGUGCCACCACCCAAUGUCCCCAAUGCCACCACCCCAUGUGCCACCACCCCAUGUCCCCAGGUGCUACCACCCAAUGUCCCCGUGGGCCACCACCCCCAUGUCCCCAAUGCUGCCACUCCAAUGUCCCCAUGUGCCACCACCCCAAUGUCCCCAUGUGCCACCACACCAGGUGUCACCACCCCAUGUCCCCCAUGUGCCACCACCGCAUGUGCCACCACCCCAUGUCCCCAAUGCCACCACCCCAAUGUCCCCAUGUGCCACCACCCCAAUGUCCCCAUGUCCAACCACCCCACGUGCCACCACCCAAUGUCCCCAUGUGCCACCACCCCACGUCCCCAUGUGCCACCACCCAAUGUCCCCAUGUGCCCCCACCCCAUGUCCUCACGUCCCCACAUCCCCAUGUGCCACCGCCCCAAAUGCCACCACCCCAUGUGCCACCACCCAAUGUCCCCAAUGCCACCACCCCAUGUGCCACCACCCCAUGUCCCCAGGUGCUACCACCCAAUGUCCCCGUGGGCCACCACCCCCAUGUCCCCAAUGCUGCCACCCCAAUGUCCCCAUGUGCCACCACCCCAAUGUCCC
rnacentral:lncRNA from 1 species